rnacentral:rRNA from 1 species
CCUACGGGUGGCAGCAGUCGGGAAUAUUGCGCAAUGGAGGAAACUCUGACGCAGUGACGCCGCGUGCAGGAAGAAGGUUUUCGGAUUGUAAACUGCUUUAGACAGGGAAGAAAAAAGACAGUACCUGUAGAAUAAGCUCCGGCUAACUACGUGCCAGCAGCCGCGGUAAUACGUAGGGAGCAAGCGUUAUCCGGAUUUAUUGGGUGUAAAGGGUGCGUAGACGGAGAAGCAAGUUAGUUGUGAAAUCCCUCGGCUUAACUGAGGAACUGCAACUAAAACUACUUCCCUUGAGUACUGGAGAGGAAAGCGGAAUGCCUGGUGUAGCGGUGAAAUGCGUAGAUAUCAGGAGGAACACCGGUGGCGAAGGCGGCCUGCUGGACUGCGACUGACGUUGAGGCCCGAAAGCGUGGGGAGCAAACAGGAUUAGAUACCCUUGUAGUC